GAUGAACGCUGGCGGCGUGCCUAAUACAUGCAAGUCGAGCGAUCUUCUUCGGCAGAGUGCGGCGGACGGGUGAGUAACGCGUGGGUAACCUGCCAUGUACGCACGGAGCAUAUAACGAACGGUAUUCUAAUACGAGAUAAUAAGCAUUGAGCGACUAGUAGCAGUAACAAAGUUACGGCGGUACAGAAUGGAUCAGCGUCUGAUUAGCUAGUUGGUAGGGUAACGGCUUGCCAAGGCGACGAUCAAUAGCCGACCGGGGAGGGCGAUCGGCCACAUUGGAACUGAGAAACGGUCCAAACUCCGACGGGAGGCAGCAGUGGGGAAUAUUGCACAAUGGGCGAAAGCCUGAUGCAGCAACGCCGCGUGAGCGAUGAAGGCCUUCGGGUCGUAAAGCUCUGUCCUCAAGGAAGAUAAUGACGGUACUUGAGGAGGAAGCCCUGGCUAACUACGUGCCAGCAGCCGCCGUAA
rnacentral:rRNA from 1 species